rnacentral:rRNA from 1 species
AAGCUCGUAGUUGAAUUUCGGGGUCAGUAGGUUGGUCGUGCCACUGGUAUGUACUGGUCUCACUGAUUCCUCCUUCCUGAUGAGCUGUAAUGCCAUUAAUUUGGUGUUGCAGGGAAAUCUGGACUGUUACUUUGAAAAAAUUAGAGUGUUUAAAGCAGGCUAACGCUUGAAUACAUUAGCAUGGAAUAAUGAAAUAGGACGUUCGAUCCUAUUUUGUUUGGUUUCUAGGAUUGACGUAAUGAUUAAUAGGGAUAGUUGGG